CUCCGGCGACAGGCGGAAGAGUUAUGUGUCCCAGACUGACAUUGCUGACACCACACUCCAAUAACCCGACAGGCUCGUCUCAGGUGACCGCUCCUUCCACAUCGAUAGCAGCGCAUGGAUGAUCCUGGACGAUCGGCAGAGGUGGUGCCUGGUGCCGGAGCCCGAAGAGCGCUGUUGCAGCUUUUCAGGCUCCGGUGGCACGGAUGGCCCAAAGAACCUCUAUGCCUUUGGGGACGCCUCUCCUUGCUUUGUUGGACGCCGUCCCCGCUGCUAAAGGACCCAACGCUACUUCACCGACCGUGGCACGUCCUCCCGUGUCUUCUUUUAUUCAAGACACAGGGACCACGUUGGGCAGUCACCAUUUGUCAGAUGAAGGGAGACUCGGACACCAGAUGGUUCACCAGCAAAACUCGUUUAUUGAUCAUAUAGUUCUGGUUAAAUACAUUCCAUAAUGACCUCA